AUUGAACGCUGGCGGCAGGCCUAACACAUGCAAGUCGAACGAGUGGCGGACGGGUGAGUAAUGUCUGGGCACCUGCCCGAUGGAGGGGGAUAACUACUGGAACCGGUAGCUAAUACCGCAUACCAUCGGAUGUGCCCAGAUGGGAUUAGCUAGUCGGUGGGGUAACGGCUCACCUAGGCGACGAUCCCUAGCUGGUCUGAGAGGAUGACCAGCCACACUGGAACUGAGACACGGGCCAGACUCCUACGGGAGGCAGCAGUGGGGAAGAUUGCACAAUGGGCGCAAGCCUGAUGCAGCAAUGCCGCGUGUAUGAAGAAGGCCUUCGGGUUGUAAAGUACUUUCAGCGGGGAGGCGUUACCCGCAGAAGAAGCACCGGCUAACUCCGUGCCAGCAGCCGCGGUAAUUC
rnacentral:rRNA from 1 species